rnacentral:rRNA from 1 species
AAGAUGCCCGUGCUACGCUACGGGGUCACAAAAGAUCAGGUGAAACAUUGUUGUUUGUUUAAAUUAUUUCCAAGAUCCAAUUCAUUGCUAUGUCCUGCAAAAAAAAAGUUCUAGACAUUGAUCAAACGAUGUUAUAUUGUUGAUAGGUAGGCAUCGAGCACAACCAAACAUAUGGUUUCCGGCCGCCUUUUUAGUAGAAGCCAUUCUUUCUUGCAAAGAACCCAUUUGUAUACACUAUUUCAAGCAAAAAUCGAUGGAAUUCCACAUCUCUUGCCAUUUGAUUCAAGAUAAGAACUUGUCUCCUUAGAGAUUACAUAUAAUGUUCGUCCAAGCCAAACCUUCUCUUCACCAUCUUGACCUUGCAGGAAGACUUUUUGUUCUCCUUAGUCCUUACUCAGUUUUCUCAUUACUGACUGCAAAUAGAAAAUCUAGCCACACAUUUGGCAAUCGGGACGUGACUGCCAGCUUUUUCUCCAAAUCCAAGAGAACUCGGCAUGAAGAGAGGAAACACAUUAUACAUAAUUUGCAUACAUACGAGAGUAUAUUAAAAUUCAAAAGUGUUGCAUGUACAUGAAUAAUUGAUUCUGCAAUAUAGAAAACCUCAUAAAUGCCAGUCAUCCGAAGUUUAUUCAUACAAUGUAAAUAUCUAACACAUGACAUGCAAGAACUGAGCUCCAACACAGAUUCUAGUGUAGUAGUCAGUGCCUUCAUCUCUAACCGUCCUCUUUCUUCUACGUUCCAAUCCUAGGUUAGUGUAUCCAUGCAUACUACAUAAUACCGUAUUAAAAGAAAUCACAUGUCCUUGAGAAGACAAUUCAAUAUGGUGAUAUCAGUUUCCCUCUUUCCUUCUCAUGUGCUCCUGCCAAACACUCAAGCAUAUCAAGCAUUAUAACUGUGUAAAUAUUAAUGAAGAAACAAAACAUGUUGUGAUCUGGAAGAAAAAAAUUGGUGCUCUUAAGUCUUAAAACACUUCCAUGGGCACCACUUUUUCUAGCACAAAUCACUAAAUAUGUCGUUUCUUCAGGAAAAACUGUAUUUUGUUAGAAGAUACAAAUAUUUUUGUUGCAAAAAGUUCGGACUUUUCUAUUCUUUUUUUUGUUUCACACCGUUCAUCCUAGAGCUGCUUUGGCUCCAUAUUGAAUAUUCGACUUUAUUGUCAGCAUUCACAAUUCCCUCAAAAUCUCUCUGCACUCUCUAUCACCCAAGGUGGAAGAAGAACAGAGGAAGAACACUGAAGGUCUUGCCCUCUUACCGCAUCGUGCCAUCCCAUGACCGCGAACAAGUCCUUACAGGCCUACAAACGCGCCUCGGGAUCGUACAACCCACGUCCUCAGGUGUCGCUAACAAUUUAACUGAAACUACUGAAGAAAACUGCUAAUUGAAACUACUAACGAAAACUGCAGCUAGAAAAAUGCUGCCAAACUACUAAUCAAGCCACACUGGUUUAUUUGCUAACAUUUAUAUCGCUGAAUCUUAAGAAAAACAAAGAAUAAGCUAGUCUAGGGGAAAAUCCAGUUUGUGACGUAAACUUUGCAUGACAGUUCUAACCAAAAGCUAAGAAUCAAAUAAUUGAUGUAUUCCUUUUCUUUUGAGAAGGCAAGUUAUGAUUAGAUUUCAUGAGACACCUCAAAAUUAUCAUUCGGCUUCUCAAGAGGAGCAUGUGAUGUGGCCCCUACCAAACAAUACUAAAGUUUUUCAAACCUAAUUAAAAUAACAUGACACAUACCAUGUUCAAAAAAAUAUUCUAAAAAUUAUGCAGGUUCACGUAGGUAUAUGAGUCUGAAGUCAUAUAUUGUCUUAGGAAAAAAAUACACACUUUCCCAUGGGAUUCUAAUCAUACAGAUGUUAUAGAAUAUCAAAAUUUACUUGCGGAGAAUUAAAACUGAUAUAUGAACUCAUAGGGGUUUAGGGUAACACACGAUGAGAAGGAAGGCACAUGUUGAAGUCGUGAGAAAUCUAUCUACAAGCAACACAACACUCAUUAUCGGGCAUCUCUCUCAGACCACAUAUUAGAAGGAUAUUACAAAUGCUGCAUACCUUUUUUCAAUCAGCAUUUCCAAAUAGAAAUCUUCUGCUAGUGGAUGCGACGAAGACAAUACUGCAUGCCGUUCUUGCUCCAUUAAUCUCAUACAACUACACAAGUGUAUAUAUGCUGUUUUGUAAAAUAGGAUUACUCAGAUUCCGAUCAAUACACAAUAAUUAAUAUACAGGGAAGUAAAAUUACUUGAUACAACAAAGUGGAAAAGCUUAUCUUUCUUCCUCGUAAGUAGCUCUUGAGAUCUUCUCCACUUAAGAAGACAUUUAGCAAUGCUUGAUAACACUGCUCCAUUUUCCUUGAGCAAAAAAUAUGACACAGAUCACAAUGGAAAAAAAAUCUGAAUAUUGAAUAGAAAAUCUAGUAACAACCCGAGGGGAUGGUUCUCAGUAAUUUCCCCAAGGAUAAAUCUGCAGUUCUCGAGGUACUUCGCAGAUCCACAACCAAUUAGUUUUUAAACAUAUUUAGGAGAGGCAAUGGUUUCAAUCACAUAGCUGCACAAAUCACACAUCUCUGCUCCAAAACAAUGACAAACUUCUUUGGGUCUGACAGAGAAACACAAAACUUAUGGAGGGAUGAACGUGGUUGGGAUUUGGGAACAAACACAGUGGCUUGCGGUAGUUGGCACCGGCACUGCCGGGAAUGAGUAGUUUGCCACCAGCCGAUAUCCUCCGGCGGGUAGCAGUAGGUGGCGGCGCAGCCGGUGGCGUACUCCUGGAGGCCGCCGUCGGAGGAUAUGGGGAGAGAGAGGAAGAGAUGGCGAUGAGGAGGAUGAGGUGGUGCCGGUGCGUGGUGGGGCUACUGCAACAAGAAAGGGGGGAAGCAAGAGAGGCGUCAGGGCACGGACGACGGUAGCGGCGCACUUGCGGGCAUUGGAACUGCAGGAGAUGGGGGAGGGGUGUAGGGGAUGACGCAGAAGAGGGCGUCGUGGUGGAGAUGCUGGGCGAUUGUGCUGCGGCACAAGAGGAGGACGAGUCAACGGACGGGCGGCGUCGACGGCGUAUGUGCUAGCCGAGGUCGGCGCAGGAGGAGAUGGGCAGAAGGGGGCGGAGGAGAUGGCCGGCAAUGGACUUGACGGUGAGGCUGGGCUCUUGGUGGACUGGAUCCAGAGCGAGGGAAGUCCAAGAGGCAGCGGAGGAGAGCGGUAAUGCGAGAUCCAGGCGGCGGACCUAUGUCUACGGGCGGCCAUGGUUACGGGAGCUCUGAGCUCUGUCUACGGGCGGCCAUGGCUGCGGGAGCUCCGAGCUCUGUCUAAAGGGCGGCUAUGGUUGCGGGAGCUCCGAGCUCGGGUGGGGAGGGAUCCCCGCCCAAUUCAAAAACGUCUGUCACUUGGAAAGAGGGGGGAGGGUCCGUGGCGAGGAUUUUGGGAGCGGUCUAGAAGACUCGGUAUCCUUUUCGAGAGAAGGAGAAUGGACUACAUCCUGUUUUUUUACCUGAGAACAUCCAGACUGAAUGGGUUGUCCCUGCUCUAAAACCCUGUCUAAGCAGAGGGUCUUUUUGCAAAAGUGCAAGUGGCACAUGGCUUGUCUCAAUCUCAGCCAUACAUUGCUGAUCGGACGGCAUAGAUGACGUGAAGGCAGACACGCCAUCACCACCAACUCGCAUUUUUAUAGGAGUAGAGAU